rnacentral:rRNA from 1 species
GACGAACGCUGGCGGCGUGCUUAACACAUGCAAGUCGAACGGAAAGGCCCUGCUUUUGUGGGGUGCUCGAGUGGCGAACGGGUGAGUAACACGUGAGUAACCUGCCCUUGACUUUGGGAUAACUUCAGGAAACUGGGGCUAAUACCGGAUAGGAGCUCCUGCUGCAUGGUGGGGGUUGGAAAGUUUCGGCGGGUGGGGUUGGACUCGCGGCUUAUCAGCUUGUUGGUGGGGUAGUGGCUUACCAAGGCUGUGACGGGUAGCCGGCCUGAGAGGGUGACCGGCCACAUUGGGACUGCGAUACGGCCCAGACGCCUACGGGAGGCAGCAGUGGGGAAUAUUGCACAAUGGGCGGAAGCCUGAUGCGGCGACGCCGCGUGCGGGAUGACGGCCUUCGGGUUGUAAACCGCUUUCGCCUGUGACGAAGCGUGAGUGACGGUAAUGGGUAAAGAAGCACCGGCUAACUACGUG